rnacentral:RNase_P_RNA from 1 species
CCGCGCGAACCGACCCGCAAGGGAAGGGAGUUAACCCGGAGAGGGUACGUGGGUUUCCCACGUUGUACGUGGCUCCGCCGCGUCCGAGACGGGCGGGAACGGAUGGAACGGCGAAUCCUCGCCGGUUCAAGUCCGCGCCACAAGGUAGUCCGGCCGCGGCGCGGACGCUCAGCCGAAUGUCGGGACGAACCGAAGGGGGCUUACUCCCCUCAGUC